AAACAUAGAAAUAUUUCUUGACUGUUGAUUUUACAUGGUACAUAUUUAAAACAAACAAAUAAUUUUCCUAGGUUUCCCAAAUGUUAUCGGUGCAUUGGACUGCACCCAUGUGCGUAUUAAGUGUCCGUCUGGUCCACAUGAAGCGGACUUUGUGAAUAGGAAAUCAGUACACAGCAUCAAUGUACAGAUGAUUAGUGAUGCAGAUUGCAUCAUCACAAAUGUAGAGGCCAAAUGGCCAGGCUCUGUGCAUGACUCCAGAAUCUUUAGAGCCUCAUCUCUCUACCAGCAACUAGCAAGAGGAGAAUUCUCAGGAGUUUUGCUGGGAGACAAGGGAUACCCAUGCCUGCCUUACCUCUUGACUCCCCAUCAGGAGCCCCAGACAGAGGCACAGCACCACUACAACAUUGCCCAUGCACGCACAAGAGGUCGUAUAGAGAUGGCAUUUGGGCUGAUAAAGUCAAGGUUUCAGUGCCUGAAGCACCUCAGAUUGACUCCACCUAGGGCAUGUGACAUUGUAGUUGCUCGUGUAGUGCUCCAUAACAUUGCUCGUCUGAGGAGAGAGAGGCAACCAAGGAUUGUUGAAGAGGAAGACUGGGGCAAUGAAGCAGUAUUGGAAGAAAACGAAACAGGCAGACUUAUACGAGACACAUAUGCAAAUAAUUAUUUUGCUUAAUAUGGUCUAAACCAUGUGUAGCCUUUAAAAUUUUCCACUGGCCCCUCAACUUUCUCCUUAGUUGAACAAACACACAGAAGUCAAAGUAUUUAAUGUGAUUUGUCUUUAUUCAGAGUGAAUCUGCCUGUUAGGGGUGAAAACACACAAAUAAAUGUUGUGGAAA